rnacentral:rRNA from 1 species
CGGUGAAUACGUUCCCGGACCUUGCACACACCGCCCGUCGAGCCAUGGAAGUUGGGUGUACCUAAAGUCGGUAACCGCAAGGAGCCGCCUAGGGUAAAACUAGUGACUGGGGCU